ACGGAAGGCAGCAGUGAGGAAUAUUGGUCAAUGGGCGGAAGCCUGAACCAGCCAUGUCGCGUGCAGGACUACGGCCCUACGGGUCUUAAACUGCUUUUGCAAGGGGAUAAAGUGGGGCACGUGUGCCCCUUUGCAGGUACCUUGCGAAUAAGGAUCGGCUAACUCCGUGCCAGCAGCCGCGGUAAUACGGAGGAUCCGAGCGUUAUCCGGAUUUAUUGGGUUUAAAGGGUGCGUAGGCGGGCUGUUAAGUCAGCGGUGAAACCCCCGGGCUCAACCCGGGGACUGCCAUUGAAACUGGCGGCCUUGAGUACGUUGGGAGUGCGCGGAAUGUGUGGUGUAGCGGUGAAAUGCAUAGAUAUCACACAGAACACCGAUCGAGAAGUCAGGUCACGAGCUCGCAACUGACGCUCAGGCACGAAAGCGUGGGGAUCAAACAGGAUUAGAUACCCUGGUA
rnacentral:rRNA from 1 species